rnacentral:rRNA from 1 species
CAGGCCUAACACAUGCAAGUCGAGCGGACUUAUCCUUCGGGAUAGGUUAGCGGCGAACGGGUGAGUAACACGUAGGCAACCUGCCUGUAAGAUCGGGAUAACUACCGGAAACGGUAGCUAAGACCGGAUAGCUGGUUUCUCCGCAUGGGGGAAUCAUGAAACAUGGGGCAACCUAUGGCUUACGGAUGGGCCUGCGGCGCAUUAGCUAGUUGGUGGGGUAAUGGCCCACCAAGGCGACGAUGCGUAGCCGACCUGAGAGGGUGAUCGGCCACACUGGGACUGAGACACGGCCCAGACUCCUACGGGAGGCAGCAGUAGGGAAUCUUCCGCAAUGGGCGCAAGCCUGACGGAGCAACGCCGCGUGAGUGAUGAAGGUUUUCGGAUCGUAAAGCUCUGUUGCCAAGGAAGAACGCCUCGGAGAGUAACUGCUCUGAGGGUGACGGUACUUGAGAAGAAAGCCCCGGCUAACUACGUGCCAGCAGCCGCGGUAAUACGUAGGGGGCAAGCGUUGUCCGGAAUUAUUGGGCGUAAAGCGCGCGCAGGCGGUCUUUUAAGUUUGGUGUUUAAGCCCGGGGCUCAACCCCGGUUCGCACUGAAAACUGGGAGACUUGAGUGCAGGAGAGGAAAGCGGAAUUCCACGUGUAGCGGUGAAAUGCGUAGAGAUGUGGAGGAGCACCAGUGGCGAAGGCGGCUUUCUGGACUGUAACUGACGCUGAGGCGCGAAAGCGUGGGGAGCAAACAGGAUUAGAU